GUUGCAUGAUUGAAGUUCAAUUUAUUUACUAAAGUAGCACAUAUGGCUUCUGUUCUGAAAAAUAUAAAUAUCUGCUUGCUUGUGAACGUGCCAGUAUAGUCACCUCUAUGAAUUAACAGGCUUUCCAUUUAACUUGGGAAAGGGAUCUUGCUUGCUUAACACUGCGACUUUGCUUUUAUGUGCAAAGUAUCCUUUAACAAGGUUCUUGUUUAUUAAUAUGGCCACAAUACAUUCCACCUCUCCAUGUCCAUCUCAAGCCACUUUAACGCUUUAAUAAUUAUUUCCAACUUCAUCUGGUGAGCUUUGCUCGGGUCCUUCUGCUUUUGGAUGAUGUAAAUUUUUUUCAGCAAUCUUUGAUAAACCUGCAGCUCUAGCUUCUCCAGAACAAGAAACACACCUGACCUUAGAAACCGGUCUUCAUGCUCCUGGAGGGCAUGUCGAAGAAGUCGAAGAUCACCCCUUUUUAGAGCUUGAACAACAUUUCUGUACUCAACUAGGUUAUACUUUUCCAGGAGCCAAUCUUUAGGCAAGAUACCUAUUGAAAGCUUCACAGGUAUCAAAUAUUUUAGAAUCAUCCUUAUAUUUGCUUCAUUGUGGGGGUUGCAGUGCAUUAAGGCAUAUGAUAAUUUAUGAUCAGCAGCAGGAAAAUUUUCAUUGAAAACUUCCAAACGGCCAGUAUAAUACAUGUAGGUGACCUUAUCUCUCUUAGGGAACUCCUCAAAAUCAAAAAUUCGAGCAGUUUCAAUACUCCUUAUCACACUGCGGCAAAGAUGAACUGUACCGAGCUUGAAAUAUAUUUUGAACAACUGGCAAGUCACAUAUAAAGCUCCUACACGUUUUGGGCCUUUUCCAGCAAGAACGCCAAACACUUUCAUGAGGAAUGAACCCGCUGCCUUCAAUUUUUCCGGAGAUUUUCCAUUUGAAGCCAAAUCUUUAUCAGCCCUCUCUGCAAGAACCCUAAUUUCAUAGGCAACGACAAACAGAGCCUCCAAAGCCCAAGC
rnacentral:misc_RNA from 1 species